AGCGAACGCUGGCGGCAGGCCUAACACAUGCAAGUCGAACGAACUCUUCGGAGUUAGUGGCGGACGGGUGAGUAACACGUGGGAACGUGCCUUUAGGCUCGGAAUAACUCAGGGAAGCUUGUGCUAAUACCGAAUGUGCCCUUCGGGGGAAAGAUUUAUCGCCUUUAGAGCGGCCCGCGUCUGAUUAGCUAGUUGGUGAGGUAACGGCUCACCAAGGCGACGAUCAGUAGCUGGUCUGAGAGGAUGACCAGCCACACUGGGACUGAGACACGGCCCAGACUCCUACGGGAGGCAGCAGUGGGGAAUCUUGCGCAAUGGGCGAAAGCCUGACGCAGCCAUGCCGCGUGAAUGAUGAAGGUCUUAGGAUUGUAAAAUUCUUUCACCGGGGACGAUAAUGACGGUACCCGGAGAAGAAGCCCCGGCUAACUUCGUGCCAGCCGCCGCCGUAAUAC
rnacentral:rRNA from 1 species